UUUAACAGAUUUUGUUAAUUAAAUAUUAAAAUAGUAUUAUAAAAGAAUAAAAUAGUAAAUACAAUUGCUUAAAUGAAAAAUAUAAUAAAGGGGAAAAUACUAUACCAAAUUAAUAUUUCAUUUAUGAAUAGAUAUAGAUUCUCUUGAAUUAGAGUUUUACCAUAAUUCUUGCAAAUUCUAGAAAUUAGUUUUUCCAGUGUGCAGAGUUUGCUGAUUUAUAAUUAAAAAUAUAGAAGAAUAUAGAUUUUGUUCUAUAACUAUAUGAGUGGUGAAUAUAUAAAAAAAAAAAAGAAAAAAAAAGUGGGUGGUUACUGAAAUGGAAUGUGUCUGUAGUGUGCAUCAAAGCAAUGUGUGAAAACCAAAAGGGUAAAAGCCAAACAAAACAGCAAUAAAUAUUUUUCUAAUCUAAACUAAACAUACAUAAUGGUUUUCUUUUUGGGUAAAUAAACUGCGCAUGUUCUAUUUGUCACUUUGUGAAAGGGAAAAGUCUUUCUUGAGAUACCUUAAACAGUUUUUCAAUUUACAAUAUCAAACAAUAUUUAAUGCAUUUUAGUUUAUCUACUUAUUUUUUUAAUUACUAUUAAUAAAAAUGAUUUUGUUAUUAAAAUUAACAUAAUUAUUAAUUAAUUUGAUGACAGUAAUGCUAUUGGCCAUAGUCUGUUUCUGUAAUGACGUCAUUGGUGUAAUUGCUUACAGAAAAAAUAUUGGAUAGAAGCAAUGGAGAUGUAGCUGUUGAUCAGUAUCAUCGUUAUAAGGAUGAUGUUGCAAUCAUGAAGUAUAUGAACACAGAUGCAUACAGAUUCUCCAUCUCUUGGCCAAGGAUAUUGCCAAAAGGAAAAGUAAGCGCAGGUAUCAACCAAGAAGGAAUCAAAUAUUACAACAACCUCAUCAAUGAGCUACUCGAUAAUGGUAAUGCAUAAAUCAUACUAUUUUAGGAGGGAAUACUAUAUUACUAGUAUAUCAUAUUAUUGAUUGAUGGAGUUAUUGA